AUGACCUUCAUCAUCAUCUUCAUCUGGACUCUCACAGCGUUUGCUCAAGAGUGUAGAGGACAGAUCACCGUCACUCAGAGUCCCUCAAUGACAGCAGCUCAACCAGGACAAACUGUGAACAUCAACUGUAGAACCAGCAGAGAUGUGUACAGUGGUAAUCGUUUAGCCUGGUACUUACAGAAGCCUGGAGAAGCUCCUAAACUCCUGAUUUAUUAUGCAAGCACCCUCCAGUCAGGAACUCCAUCUAGAUUCAGUGGCAGUGGAUCUAACAGUGAUUUCACUCUGACCAUCAGUGGAGUCCAGACUGAAGAUGCUGGACAUUAUUACUGUCUGAGUUUAUACUGGCCUGAGAGCAUUCAGUGGUUCACACAGUGAUAAAGAGUCGUACAAAAACCUCCGUCAGUCAGAGUCACAGUGACUGAACUGAUACUGCAGCUGCUCAAAGGAGGAUCUGAAACAA